CCUACGGGGGGCAGCAGUAGGGAAUAUUGCUCAAUGGGGGAAACCCUGAAGCAGCAACGCCGCGUGGAGGAUGAAGGUUUUAGGAUUGUAAACUCCUUUUGUUAGAGAAGAUUAUGACGGUAUCUAACGAAUAAGCACCGGCUAACCCCGUGCCAGCAGCCGCGGUCAUCCGGAGGGUGCAAGCGUUACUCGGAAUCACUGGGCGUAAAGCGUGCGUAGGCGGGGUAAUAAGUCAGACGUGAAAUCCUGUAGCUUAACUACAGAACUGCAUUUGAAACUGUUACCCUGGAGUGUGGGAGAGGUAGGUGGAAUUCUUGGUGUAGGGGUAAAAUGCGUAGAGAUCAAGAGGAAUACUGAUUGCGAAGGCGACCUGCUGGAACAUUACUGACGCUGAUGCACGAAAGCGUGGGGAGCAAACAGGAUUAGAUACCCCUGUAGUC
rnacentral:rRNA from 1 species